AGUGAACGCUGGCGGUAGGCCUAACACAUGCAAGUCGAACGGCAGCACAGUAAGAGCUUGCUCUUACGGGUGGCGAGUGGCGGACGGGUGAGGAAUACAUCGGAAUCUACUUUUUCGUGGGGGAUAACGUAGGGAAACUUACGCUAAUACCGCAUACGACCUACGGGUGAAAGCAGGGGAUCUUCGGACCUUGCGCGAUUGAAUGAGCCGAUGUCGGAUUAGCUAGUUGGCGGGGUAAAGGCCCACCAAGGCGACGAUCCGUAGCUGGUCUGAGAGGAUGAUCAGCCACACUGGAUCUGAGACACGGUCCAGACUCCUACGGGAGGCAGCAGUGGGGAAUAUUGGACAAUGGGCGCAAGCCUGAUCCAGCCAUACCGCGUGGGUGAAGAAGGCCUUCGGGUUGUAAAGCCCUCUUGUUGGGAAAGAAAAGCAGCAGGUUAAUACCCCGCUGUUCUGACGGUACCCAAAGAAUAAGCACCGGCUAACUUCGUG
rnacentral:rRNA from 1 species